GAAACGGGUGGGCCCUCGAAGUCCGUGCGUCCGCGGAGGACUCAGCCUGUCACGGCUUGAAGGGGUCAGGCCGGCGAGUCCCGGGUCAGGGUCCGACGCGUCCAGCGUCGCCGUCCGCCGGGAGGAGCCGCGCGGUGCGCCCCGCCGAUUCGCCAGACGGUGCACUUCCUCCUGGACUGUCGUGGACGCCGCUGCCGGUUGCCGGCCUGCCGAGAGGCGGCGCGACGAGCGGAGAUCUCGGCGAGCCGAAGCGCUCGCCGGGUCCCGCGCCGCCUCGGCGGGGCGGGCGACCGAGAGAGAGUUCAUGGCUCCCGUUCCUCGAGGCCCGAGGUGGCCCGAUGCGGAGUCCCGAAACAAGUCGCAUUCGAGUCCUGGAGCAGCCGCAGGAAGUCCGUUCCUCGCCCCUCCCCAGAGCGGGCGCGUCGGUCCGGCGUGAGCAGCCGCCAGGUCGGGACGUCCGCGGCGGAGGCCGAGAGAGAACCGCAGAGAGCGGCGAGUAGGUCGGCGUCCCACCCGACCCGUCUUGAAACACGGACCAAGGAGUCUAACAUGUGCGCGAGUCAGUGGGUCUCGACAAAGCCCAGAGGCGUAACGAGAGUGAGAGAGUUCGUUGCGAUCCCGGCCGCGUGGUCGAGCCGGAGGCAGCAACCGCCCGCCGAGCAAUCGGCGGAGCGCGAGCGCACACGUUGGUACCCGAAAGAUGGUGAUCUAUGCUCGGACCGGUUGAGGGCAGAGGAAACUCUGCUGGAGGACCCUAGCGGUUCUGACGUGCAAAUCGAUCGCGCGAUCGAGGUAUAGG
rnacentral:rRNA from 1 species